rnacentral:rRNA from 1 species
UUAAGCGACUAAGCGUACACGGUGGAUGCCCUGGCAGUCAGAGGCGAUGAAGGACGUGCUAAUCUGCGAAAAGCGUCGGUAAGGUGAUAUGAACCGUUAUAACCGGCGAUGUCCGAAUGGGGAAACCCAGUGUGAUUCGUCACACUAUCGUUAACUGAAUACAUAGGUUAACGAGGCGAACCGGGGGAACUGAAACAUCUAAGUACCCCGAGGAAAAGAAAUCAACCGAGAUUCCCCCAGUAGCGGCGAGCGAACGGGGAGCAGCCCAGAGUCUGAAUCAGCUUGUGUGUUAGUGGAACGGUCUGGAAAGUCCGACGGUACAGGGUGAUAGUCCCGUACACCAAAAUGCACAGGCUGUGAACUCGAAGAGUAGGGCGGGACACGUGGUAUCCUGUCUGAAUAUGGGGGGACCAUCCUCCAAGGCUAAAUACUCCUGACUGACCGAUAGUGAACCAGUACCGUGAGGGAAAGGCGAAAAGAACCCCGGCGAGGGGAGUGAAAAAGAACCUGAAACCGUGUACGUACAAGCAGUGGGAGCACCUUCGGGUGUGACUGCGUACCUUUUGUAUAAUGGGUCAGCGACUUAUAUUCUGUAGCAAGGUUAACCGUAUAGGGGAGCCGCAGGGAAACCGAGUCUUAACUGGGCGUUAAGUUGCAGGGUAUAGACCCGAAACCCGGUGAUCUAGCCAUGGGCAGGUUGAAGGUUGGGUAACACUAACUGGAGGACCGAACCGACUAAUGUUGAAAAAUUAGCGGAUGACUUGUGGCUGGGGGUGAAAGGCCAAUCAAACCGGGAGAUAGCUGGUUCUCCCCGAAAGCUAUUUAGGUAGCGCCUCGUGAAYUCAUCUUCGGGGGUAGAGCACUGUUUCGGCUAGGGGGUCAUCCCGACUUACCAACCCGAUGCAAACUACGAAUACCGAAGAAUGUUAUCACGGGAGACACACGGCGGGUGCUAACGUCCGUCGUGAAGAGGGAAACAACCCAGACCGCCAGCUAAGGUCCCAAAGUCAUGGUUAAGUGGGAAACGAUGUGGGAAGGCACAGACAGCCAGGAUGUUGGCUUAGAAGCAGCCAUCAUUUAAAGAAAGCGUAAUAGCUCACUGGUCGAGUCGGCCUGCGCGGAAGAUGUAACGGGGCUAAACCAUGCACCGAAGCUGCGGCAGCGACACUAUGUGUUGUUGGGUAGGGGAGCGUUCUGUAAGCCUGCGAAGGUGWSCUGUGAGGSWUGCUGGAGGUAUCAGAAGUGCGAAUGCUGACAUAAGUAACGAUAAAGCGGGUGAAAAGCCCGCUCGCCGGAAGACCAAGGGUUCCUGUCCAACGUUAAUCGGGGCAGGGUGAGUCGACCCCUAAGGCGAGGCCGAAAGGCGUAGUCGAUGGGAAACAGGUUAAUAUUCCUGUACUUGGUGUUACUGCGAAGGGGGGACGGAGAAGGCUAUGUUAGCCGGGCGACGGUUGUCCCGGUUUAAGCAUGUAGGCUGGUURUCCAGGCAAAUCCGGAUAAUCAAGGCUGAGGUGUGAUGACGAGGCACUACGGUGCUGAAGUAACAAAUGCCCUGCUUCCAGGAAAAGCCUCUAAGCAUCAGGUAACAUYAAAUCGUACCCCAAACCGACACAGGUGGUCAGGUAGAGAAUACCAAGGCGCUUGAGAGAACUCGGGUGAAGGAACUAGGCAAAAUGGUGCCGUAACUUCGGGAGAAGGCACGCUGGUGUGUAGGUGAAGYCCCUGCGGRUGGAGCUGAGACCAGUCGAAGAUACCAGCUGGCUGCAACUGUUUAUUAAAAACACAGCACUGUGCAAACACGAAAGUGGACGUAUACGGUGUGACGCCUGCCCGGUGCCGGAAGGUUAAUUGAUGGGGUUAUCCGUAAGGAGAAGCUCUUGAUCGAAGCCCCGGUAAACGGCGGCCGUAACUAUAACGGUCCUAAGGUAGCGAAAUUCCUUGUCGGGUAAGUUCCGACCUGCACGAAUGGCGUAAUGAUGGCCAGGCUGUCUCCACCCGAGACUCAGUGAAAUUGAACUCGCUGUGAAGAUGCAGUGUACCCGCGGCAAGACGGAAAGACCCCGUGAACCUUUACUAUAGCUUGACACUGAACAUUGAGCCUUGAUGUGUAGGAUAGGUGGGAGGCUUUGAAGCGUGGACGCCAGUCUGCGUGGAGCCAACCUUGAAAUACCACCCUUUAAUGUUUGAUGUUCUAACGUUGGCCCCUUACCGGGGUUGCGGACAGUGUCUGGUGGGUAGUUUGACUGGGGCGGUCUCCUCCCAAAGCGUAACGGAGGAGCACGAAGGUUAGCUAAUCCUGGUCGGACAUCAGGAGGUUAGUGCAAUGGCAUAAGCUAGCUUGACUGCGAGCGUGACGGCGCGAGCAGGUGCGAAAGCAGGUCAUAGUGAUCCGGUGGUUCUGAAUGGAAGGGCCAUCGCUCAACGGAUAAAAGGUACUCCGGGGAUAACAGGCUGAUACCGCCCAAGAGUUCAUAUCGACGGCGGUGUUUGGCACCUCGAUGUCGGCUCAUCACAUCCUGGGGCUGAAGUAGGUCCCAAGGGUAUGGCUGUUCGCCAUUUAAAGUGGUACGCGAGCUGGGUUUAGAACGUCGUGAGACAGUUCGGUCCCUAUCUGCCGUGGGCGCUGGAGAAUUGAGGGGGGCUGCUCCUAGUACGAGAGGACCGGAGUGGACGCAUCACUGGUGUUCGGGUUGUCAUGCCAAUGGCACUGCCCGGUAGCUAAAUGCGGAAGAGAUAAGUGCUGAAAGCAUCUAAGCACGAAACUUGCCCCGAGAUGAGUUCUCCCUGAGACUUUAAG